ensembl:snRNA U6 U6 spliceosomal RNA
GUGCUCGCGUCAGCCGCACAUAUACUAAAAUUGGAAUGAUACAGACAAGAUUAGCAUGGCCUCCACACAAGGAUGACAUGCAAAUUUGUGAAGUUCCAUAUUUUG